GGUUAAAAAGCUCGUAGUUGGAUGUCUGUUGAGGACGGCCGGUCCGCACUAUGUGCGUGUAUGCUGGUUCGGCCUUGGCAUCCUCUUGAGGAACGUUCCUGCGCUUGAUUGCGUGGGGCGGUAUUCAAGACUUUUACUUUGAGGAAAUUAGAGUGUUCACGGCAGGCAAGCGCCUUGAAUACAUUAGCAUGGAAUAAUAAUAUAGGAUCUUGGUUCUAUUUGUUGGUUUCUAGGGCUAAGGUAAUGAUUAAUAGGGAUAAUUGGGGGCAUUCGUAUUAACGUGUCAGAGGUGGAAUUCUUGGAUUGCGUUACGACAAACUACUGCGAAAGCAUUUGCCAAGGAUGUUUUCAUUGAUCAAGAACGAAAGUAUGGGGAUCGAAGAUGAUUAGAUACCGUCGUAGUCUAUACCAUAAACUAUGCCGACUAGGGAUUGGAGGUCGUUCUUUUUAUGACUCCUUCAGCACCUUAUGAGAAAUCGAAGUCUUUGGGUUCCGGGGGGAGUAUAGUCGCAAGGCUGAAACUUAAAGGAAUUGACGGAAGGGCACCACCAGGAGUGGAGCCUGCGGCUUAAUUUGACUCAACACGGGGAAACUCACCAGGUCCAGACAUAUUAAGGAUCAACAGAUUGA
rnacentral:rRNA from 1 species